CCCCUCUCAGGGUCGCACCUGAAGAGUGUCCAACGCUCUACCAGUCUUGGCUACGGGAGGGAGAGUCAAGCAGAGGCCUACCCAUUCCAUUCUUAGCUUGGGCAGUGGCUAGCGAGUGUAAGGCCAUCUGCUAUAGGG